AAGACUAUACUUUCAGGGAUCAUUUCUAUAGUUUAUGACUUGAGAAAUGUGACUCUAAUUUGUAUGGUCUCGCUUACCACGAUGAAGAGUUUCUAAUACUCCAUCCUGAGCGGGAAGCUUGCAAAGAAUGGUGACUUCGGUCACGUGUUCUUUGCAUUUGAUGACCGUUCAUUGUCCCCUGGGGGUCAGUGAGGGAUGCAGUAUGGUCAGAGUGGU